CCUACGGGUGGCUGCAGUGAGGAAUAUUGGUCAAUGGGCGGGAGCCUGAACCAGCCAAGUCGCGUGAGGGAUUACGGCCCUACGGGUCGUAAACCUCUUUUGCCGGGGAGCAACGGGCCGCACGUGUGGGGGCCGUGAGAGUACCCGGAGAAAAAGCAUCGGCUAACUCCGUGCCAGCAGCCGCGGUAAUACGGAGGAUGCGAGCGUUAUCCGGAUUUAUUGGGUUUAAAGGGUGCGUAGGCGGGUCGUUAAGUCGGUGGUCAAAUUGCGGGGCUCAACCCCUGCCCGCCGUUGAAACUGGCGCUCUUGAGUGGGAGAGAAGUAUGCGGAAUGCGUGGUGUAGCGGUGAAAUGCAUAGAUAUCACGCAGAACCCCGAUUGCGAAGGCAGCAUACCGGCUUCCGACUGACGCUGAGGCACGAAAGCGUGGGGAUCGAACAGGAUUAGAUACCCUGGUAGUC
rnacentral:rRNA from 1 species